GAUUUUCUUAUAUUGCGUUAACUUGCAUCUAAUAUCCAUAGUAAUGGUUCCCGGAGUUUUUCUUAUAUCGCGCUAAUGUCUUCUAAUUAUAUUUUUUUAGACUUUGAGAUCCCAAACUUACAAUUGUGCAAGUUGAUUGCCAAAUAUUCAAUUGUGCAACAUUUUAGAGUUUUUUAGGUAUUUUAUCGAAAACAAUUAUAUAGAGAGAUUAGAUAAGAACAAAAUAAAUCAAAUAAAAAAAGAAAUCAAAUAUCAUCCUGACUUCAACAUCACUAUCACCACACACCAACCCCUGACUGUUCAACUAUAAAAUCUAUAUAGAGAUAGCGG
rnacentral:lncRNA from 1 species